rnacentral:rRNA from 1 species
UUCUUGAAAAUUAAAAAAAUUGGCGGUAUUUUAGUCUAUUCAGAGGAACCUGUCCUGUAAUUGAUAAUCCACGAGUUUAUUUACUUAUAUUAUUAAUUUACAUAUCUCCGUAGUUUGAAUAUUUUUAAAGAAAUUAAAUAUUCAAUAUGUUUAAAGAAAAAAAUUCAGGUCAAGGUGUAGUUUAUAUAUAAGAAGAGGUGGGUUACAUUAAAUUUAUUUAUAACGAAUAAUUUUUUUUAAAAAAAUUUGAAGGUGGAUUUGAAAGUAAUUUUAUAUAAAUAUAUAAAAUGAUUUUAGCUCUAAAAUAUGUACAUAUCGCCCGUCACUUUCACUUUAAGGUGGAAUAAGUCGUAACAAAGUAGAGGUACUGGAAAGUGUCUCUAGAAAAUUCAAAUUAAAGCUUUUAUAGCAUUUUAUUUACAUUAAAAAGAAUAUUGUAGAUUCAGUAUAAUUUGAAAGUAAUUAAUUAUUAAUGUUGUAAUAUUUAUAUAAUUUAAAAAAAAUAAUUAAAGUUUUUAUUAUUUAUAUAAGAAAAAAUAAAAUUUAUUAUAGAUAAUUAGUAUUGAGAAAGAAUUUGUUUAAUUUUAUAAAAGAAAAAUUAAUUUUUUGUACCUUGUGUAUCAGGGUUUAUUAAUUAAAAGUUAAUAUUAUUAAUUUUCUCGAAUUUAAAAGAGCUAUAAAGGUAUAAUUUUUAUUGUAGAAAAAAUAUUAUAAAUAUUUUUAUAGAAGUGAAACGCUAAUCGAUUUUAAAUAUAUCUAGUUUUUUAAGAAAUAAAUUUAAUUUUAUUUUUAUUUAAUUAAAAAUUUUAUUUAAUAAAUUUUUAAUAGUAAAAAUUUAUAUUUUAGGGGAUGAGCUUUAGAAUAAAAUAAUAUAAUUUUAAAUGUUAAAUGUUAAUUAAAUAGAAUUAUAAGUUUUCAUUUUUAAUAUUGUUUUAUAACUAUUUUAAUAAUUAAUAAAAUUUUUAUUUAAAAUUUAUUUUUUAUAUUAAAAUAUAAUUUAGAGUUUUAAUAAAUUAGAAAUAAUGAUAAAAUUAGUAGAAUUUAUUGUUGAUUAAAAAUUUAUUUAUAGGUUAUAUAAAGGAAUUCGGCAAAAAAUUUUUCACCUGUUUAAUAAAAACAUGGCCUUUUGAUUUUAAUUUAAGGUCUAGCCUGCCCAAUGAUAAGUUUAAAUGGCUGCGGUAUUUUGACCGUACAAAGGUAGCAUAAUCAUUAGUUUUUUAAUUGAAAGCUGGAAUGAAAGGUUGGAUGAAAAAAUAACUGUCUUUAUUUAAAUUUAUUUGAAUUUUAUUUUUAAGUAAAAAAGCUUAAAUAUUUAUAGAAGACGAGAAGACCCUAUAGAGUUUUAUAUAAAUUAAGAUUAAAAUUUUUAGAAUUAAA